AGGAGGAGGGGGCGGAGAAUACAGAAAAGGGUUUUGAUUUGAGAGAUAUUUAAUAGAUAAAAUUAGGGCAAGGCAAAAUGAGGAAGAGAGAGACCUGGGAUUCAGGCUUGGGUAACUGGGUGCUCUUUCCAUUGCCUCGCAGAGCGCCUGCACACGCUAAGGCUGAGCGCACACCAUUUGGACCUUUGCCUACAGGCUAAGCAGCCCACCCGGUUCAAUGGAAGGACAGACCCAAACUGCCCUGUCUGUGAUGUUCCCUGCCCCUUCUAGUGAUGUCUGACACCUUCACCGGAGACCCGGAGACAGAAGUCCCACUGCUCUGAAGGCCAGAAUGGAUUGUUGCUGAUGCCUGCUGGCUGGGGGUGAGACCUCUCUGGUGCCUCAACACCCUGUAAGACCUCAGGACCUUUGCUUCACCUUGGUGGGGGAACCCUAAGAAAGGCUGAAGUUGAGUGUCUUGCUAAUCCAGCAAGAUGGGCAUUCAGAGUAGAAGAUCUGUUCGGAGGACUCCUGACUAAGAGCCAGCUCCUGAAACCGAAAGCCUUGUGAUUUGGAGUUGGACACAUCUGGUUGUGGUUUGCCCAGGUCAGCAGGCCUGCGCUAGUGAGCUGGUUAGAACUUCCCCUCUCGGGGCCGUGUGUUGACUGCUGCAAGCCUGCGGGACACCGGACACCAUGUGUGGUCCCCCACAUGAAAGGACCCUGUCUGCCGGGCCUCCAGGGAGUCAUCCUCAAAGGAAGCUGGGUUCCGGGAAAGCUCUAUGUGGAGCUGUGACCCCACGGAGCCACGCUGACCCUGGCAGGUGAUGCCCUCAGCUUCCAUCACAGGUGGCCAUGGCAAGUGGCCACAGGGAAUGGGGUUAUCUGCUACCUGUUGCGGGAGGGAGGUCGUGUUUCUAGCAGAGUGCCUAGAGAUCCGAGCUUCACAGAAGAUUGUGACAUGCUUCGGGCUUUCUCGUAUUGAGAUCCGUGCAACAGGCCAUGCCUCUCUUUUCCCUUUGACUACCAGAAAGCUCAGAACCAAAUAAGUGGUUCAGUUAUAACAAUUGACUUCAUCUUUGUGGUCCAUGCUCCUAUGUUUCUCUCUCUCAUUCUGACAAACUUUUGCUGCUGUUUCUAUUUUCCCGCUUCUUGGUCUCGGCUGAGUGAUUCAGCCCAGGUCCUGCCAUGCUCUUCCUGGGUCUGAAUCCCAGCUCCACCAUUCACUAGCCAUGUGGUCGGGUUAUUUAAUCUUUCUGUAACUCGGCACCUCAGGUGUUAAAUGGGGGUAAUAGCUGCAUCUACUUCAUGGGUGGAUUACAAGGAUUAAAUGAGAUAAUACAUACCAAGGGCUUAGAACAAUGCAUGGUACAGAGUAGGCAAUAGAUGUCAGCCUAAUUCCCCACUCUUUUAUUAGCGCUGUACGUGAAUUUGGUGUGAGCUGUAAGAAGAAUAUUAGGGAAAAAAAAGAUAAUUUUUCCAUUAUUUUUCAAAACUCUAAAGAGCUGGCUGGAGCAGAGAAAGAUACUAAGAACAAGCAUUUCUGGUUGUCAGGCAUUGAACAACCCACUUCACACUUUGUUUCAUUCUUACAAAACCCCCAAGAUGUGAACGUUGUGAUUAUACC